ensembl:lncRNA
GAAGAACUUGGGAAAUAAAGAUAUGAGGAAAACAGUUCCUGCCGUUAAGGAGCUCUCAAUUUAUUUAGAAAGACAGAAGAGUGGUAAACAAUUAAUUCUUCUGCAAGAGAAAAGAUUCGUCAUUAGACCGAGUCCUCCCUCAAACACGGCAUUUUUUCAUAUGUCACUCUCGUUCCCUGUAUGGUGCUGACUACUUAUUAGAUCUUCUUGGCCUUUACUGACACUAAUGGAAUGAAGAUUUUACAUUCUACUUGGAAGUAUCAUAAGGUGCCUGAAAUGAGCUUCUUUCAAGGCAUUACUUAAACUGAACUGAAGAACUGAUGAAUAAUAAUUGAUGCAUCAGAAUUGCCUUCAUUAUGGAGGUAGCAUUUGAGCUAAGCUUUGAAAAUGAAGAUUUCCGCAAGCAGAGAAGCCCAUAAAUCACUAAUAACCACUUUUAAAAUGCCUCUUCCUUCUUGCUUCCAACUGAGUUCCUUGUGUGGAUAAGUGUCCUUAGUUAAAGGAGUCUUUAUCUCUCUCCUCACCAGAAGAGACUUCAAAGACAGGUAGUUCGAAGAUAUUUAAUAAAGUUAUGACCUUAUCAAAUUACAAUACUUCAUAUAUUUUGAUUAUAUUUGUAUUAUGUUCAAAUAUUUAAAGAGUGGGGAUUUUUUGUGAUCUGUUGGUUCUCGGUGAAAAAACAACAAAGCAUCAGUUUUAAUAUAUCUAUCUCUGAGAAGUACUGAAAGGGAAUGCUUGGUAGAUGACGAUUAAAAUGAUGACAAAGACGUAAAGAUCAAAUAAGAGUGCCUCCCUCAGUAUCUAGUAGAUACGAAGUCGCAAGUAUUCAUAAAUGUGUUUUGAACAGAUAGGGCAUUUAGGCUCAACUGUGCUAUUUGCUGCCAACUUUAAACACGUCCCUUAAAUCUCAAUGUUCCUCAGUUUCCUCACCAGUAAAUUGAUAUAUUAAAAUAACAUUUCAUACCCACUUCUUGGGAGGAUAACAGAGCUAAAAUGAGGUUUCAAAUGUCAAAUCAUUUGACAAGUGAGAGGCAAGUGGGUGGUGUGUUAUGGUUUAGACCUUUCGUUCUGUGAACAAUCUGAAUAACUGCAUGUGUGUAUAGCUUUUCUUCCUCUCUAGAGACUUCCAUGAGGAAUUAAGCCCCAAGUAUCCAUCUUCCUCUGUACUCUGACAUAUUUUAACACUAAAUUUUAUAUUACUAGUUAUUUCUGGAAAAUUGUAUCAUCUCCUGUUCACAUCUAUACUGUUAUAUAGACCGUACACUCUUUAAGGGUGAGAACAAAAUUUAUUUAUAUCAGUAUUCACCAGAUCCUCUCUUACAAUGUCAAGCACACGGAAUGUGCUUAGUAAAUCCUUAAGUUAAGUGUUGAUCAUGCAUAUGGAGGACUUUGAAAUAAAGCGAAGGGAGAUAUGCUUGAUUUUAUGAAGAAUGGGAAAUAACCGCUGGCUGUUUUGAGCAGAGAAGUAAAAAUUACAUUUAAAUAAGGUAAAUCUGGUGAUCUUAAGCAUGUAAUUUUGGCAGGAAUUCAUUUGACUCUGCCAUAAUAUCUAAGGGCAAGAAAUGGAAGGAAGAAAAUUCUGACGCAUAUAACAUGGAUGAACCUUGAGAAUAUUAUGCUAAGUGAAAUAAACCAGUUACAAAAAGACAAAUAUUGUAUGAGUUCAAUUAUAUGUGAUAUCUAGAAUAGUCAACUCAUGGAAACAGAAAGUAGAUUGAUGGUUGCCAGGGGAGGGGAAUUGUUGUUGUCU